rnacentral:lncRNA from 1 species
UAUGCUGGAGUGAACGAGGCAUAUAUGUGUUUUAGUGUAUAGGAGAGGGAUGAGUUUACUUUGUGAAGUUAGAAGAAAGUUUAUGGUUAUGUGAAAAGAAGGAAAAUAUGUGGGAAUUCUUAUAUGGGAAAAUUUAAGUAGAAUAGAGCAGGUGUGAUGAGAAAAAGAAAAUUGUUAAUGAGGGUUGUGCGUUACAGGUUCUAGGUGUUAAAUGAAGUAAGGGAAAAUGUGAUAUAGGUUGGGGUGCUUAGCCUUGGGUUAGUGAGGAGAAACUUUGGUUGAGAAUAAGGUGUGAGUGAGUAGGUUCUGGCUGUGUUAAAAUGUGUGUGUUGGGUUGUGUUAGGCAAGAAAAAUAUAAGAAAGAGAAUGGUGGGUGUGUUUCUAGUAUUGGCUACGUAAAUUUAGAGAGGGAAAAAUGGAUUGUUGUUUGGUAAAGUAAAAUGAAGAAGAAAAAUGAGGAUGGGUAACAUAAAAGGGAGGAAAGAACAUAAAGGAGGUGUGGGUUAUGCAUUGGAGUUAAAGAAAAAUAAGGUUUUAAGGAGGAAUAAGGGUUUAAUUUGUAAAAGGAAGUAUGAGUUAGAAUGGUUAUUUAUAAGGUACAAGAGGUUGAAUAAUGAAAAAGGUCUAAGAGAAAAAAGAAGGAUAAAAUAUAAGUGGACUAGUGAUAUUGGAAUUAACGUGUGGAAUAAUGCGGGUUUGCAGUAAAAGAGGAAGAGUGUAGAAUAUUUGGUUGUUGGAAGAGAUGGUGCAGGGCAAAUGAUUGUUCUUGUAUUUGCAUAAGAAUAAAGGGUGAAGGUUAGUGUGGUCGGCAUGAAUAUUUAAACGUUGAAAUGAAGAAUUAACGGGAAAGAGAGUGUGUGUGGAGGUUUUGUUCAAGCUUUUGCUUGAAAGCUAGGAAGUGAGAGAAUGUAAGGAUGUUUGCCAAUAAGGGACCUGGGUCCCACGUUGUAAAAAAAGAAAAUAAUCAAAAUGAUGGGAGGAGGUUACGUGCAUAAGGUUGAGAGGGUGAAUGAUUUCUUAUUUCAUUUAGAGUUUAAAAUUUAGCACACUUUCUUUUAGUUGAAUAAGGUUGGAAAGAGGAGAUUUGGACUUUAUCUUGAACGGAUGUCGACAUCCGUUCAAGGAUUUUUCAAGCCUUCAAUGAAUGUCGACAUCCGUUGAAGUUUUCAAAAAAUCCUUCAACGGAUAUCGACAUCUGUUGAAGAAGGAUAUUUUGGAUAUGUGGUGACGCAGGAAGCAAUGUGGGGUGGUGCAGGAAAUAACCCCCUUAUUGCAAAUGAGGAUUAUCCAUACCCCCAUUGAACCACCACUAUGUGAGGAAUGACAACUUUGGUGACCUAAGCUAUUGCAACAAUAAGAAGAAGAAGAUUGAGAAGUAGACAUGACUCAUUAACCACUAAGAUUGG